UGUAGCUUAGUGGUAGAGCACAUUCCUGACAUGCAUGAGGCACUGAGCUCGAUCCUCAGCA
rnacentral:tRNA from 1 species